CGGAGUAUAGCGCAGUCGGGUAGCGCAUCGCGUUUGGGGCGCGAGGGCCGUAGGUUCGAAUCCUACUACUCCGA
rnacentral:tRNA from 1 species